rnacentral:rRNA from 1 species
UACGUAGGUGGCGAGCGUUAUUCGGAUUUAUUGGGCGUAAAGCGUCCGUAGGGGGAUUAUUAAGUCAGAUGUGAAAUUUCAGGGCUCAACCCUGAACCUGCAUUUGAAACUGAUAGUCUAGAGUUCGGUAGAGGUAAGUGGAAUUUGUGGUGUAGCGGUGGAAUGCGUAGAUAUCACAAGGAACUCCAAAGGCGAAAGCAGCUUACUGGGCCGAUACUGACCCUGAGGGACGAAAGCUAAGGUAGCGAAA